GACGAACGCUGGCGGCGGGCUUAACACAUGCAAGUCGAACGGAAAGGCCCUGCUUUUGUGGGGUGCUCGAGGGGCGAACGGGGGAGGAACACGUGAGUAACCUGCCCUUGACUUUGGGAUAACUUCAGGAAACUGGGGCUAAUACCGGAUAGGAGCUCCUGCUGCAUGGUGGGGGUUGGAAAGUUUCGGCGGGUGGGGAUGGACGCGCGGCUUAUCAGCUUGUUGGUGGGGGAGUGGCUUACCAAGGCUUUGACGGGUAGCCGGCCUGAGAGGGUGACCGGCCACCUUGGGACUGAGAUACGGCCCAGACUCCUAUGGGAGGCAGCAGUGGGAAAUAUUGCACAAUGGGCGGAAGCCUGAUGCAGCAACGCCGCGUGCGGGAUGACGGCCUUCGGGUUGUAAACCGCUUUCGCCUGUGACGAAGCGUGAGUGACGGUAAUGGGUAAAGAAGCACCGGCUAACUACGUG
rnacentral:rRNA from 1 species